CCUACGGGUGGCAGCAGUGGGGAAUAUUGCACAAUGGGGGAAACCCUGAUGCAGCGACGCCGCGUGAGUGAAGAAGCACUUCGUUAUGUAAAGCUCUAUCAGCAGGGAAGAAAAUGACGGUACCUGAGGAAGAAGCCCCGGCUAACUACGUGCCAGCAGCCGCGGUAAUACGUAGGGGGCAAGCGUUAUCCGGAUUUACUGGGUGUAAAGGGGGCGUAGACGGCAGUGCAAGCCUGGAGUGAAAGGCGGGGGCUCAACCCCCGGACUGCUCUGGGAACUGCGCGGCUGGAGUGCAGGAGAGGUAGGUGGAAUUCCUGGUGUAGCGGUGAAAUGCGUAGAUAUCAGGAGGAACACCGGUGGCGAAGGCGGCUUACUGGACUGUAACUGACGUUGAGGCUCGAAAGCGUGGGGAGCAAACAGGAUUAGAUACCCGUGUAGUC
rnacentral:rRNA from 1 species